GCAAAGGUAGCAUAAUCAUUAGUUCUUUAAUUGUGAUCUGGUAUGAAUGGCUUGACGAGACAUAAGCUGUCUUAGGGGUGUUGUAAAUUAAUUGAAUUUGGUUUUUGAGUUAAAAUUCUUAAAUGUUUUUAUGGGACGAGAAGACCCUAUAGAGUUUAACAAUUUCUUGUAUUGUAUGUUGUUUGUUUAUUUUAAUUGAUUAAGGUAAAUUGUUUUGUUGGGGUGAUGGGAGGAAAUAUUUUAACUCCUCUUUGUUUUUGUAUAUUUAUUUAUAUCUUUUUUGAUCCAUUUAUUUUGAUUAUAAGAUUAAAUUACCUUAGGGAUAACAGCGUUAUCUUCCUUGAGAGUUCUUAUUGGCGGGGAGGUUUGCG
rnacentral:rRNA from 1 species